rnacentral:tRNA from 1 species
UCCCUGGUGGCUAAGUGUUAAAGCAUCUGCCUGUCAAUGGAGGAGACGCAGGUUCAACCCCUGAUCUGGGAA